CCAUGUGAGUAGAGUGCAACAUACGCUGUAAGAAGAACCAGGAAAACAAAAUAUAGAAUUGCGUUCAGGAAAUACCACGUUCGAGCUGUUGAUGAAUUCAUUUUUUUCUUUAAAAAUAACCGUACGAGUGGAUGUGAAAGGCAUUCGUCGAGUCCAACAAAAGCCCAUUUGCUUAUGGCUUCAAUGUAAUCACCAUCAGAAUCU